rnacentral:rRNA from 1 species
UACGAAGGGGGCUAGCGUUGCUCGGAAUGACUGGGCGUAAAGGGCGCGUAGGCGGUUCAUACAGUCAGAUGUGAAAUUCCCGGGCUUAACCUGGGGGCUGCAUUUGAUACGUGUGGGCUUGAGUGAGGAAGAGGGUUGUGGAAUUCCCAGUGUAGAGGUGAAAUUUGUAGAUAUUGGGAAGAACACCGGUGGCGAAGGCGGCAACCUGGUCCUUGACUGACGCUGAGGCGCGAAAGCGUGGGGAGCAAACAGG